UUGUUGUUAUUAUGUCUGUAUCCAAAAAAAGGAAACCCUUUACUGGGUUACAGUCCGCUUGCUGACUGAGCUGGGAUGUUUGCAAGAAGGUCAGGCAGCAGUGUUGCACACAAACUGAGCAGGAGUUGGUCUGUUCUUGUAGUCGUGGCCGUACCUUCCGGCGAUCGGACUGCUGAACACUUCCUAACACUUCCUAACACAUUUUGAAUAAGUCCUAACACUUCCGAACUAAUUCCUAACACAAGUACGAACAUCACGUGGUCUAUGUCCUAACAACUCCUAACCAUCUCCUAACAGGUCCGAACGGGGCAAAACAGCCAUUGGUCGAGCGGAGCAAUACAGCCAUUGGCCGAAACAUAGUCACGUGCGAAACCACAUGAUUACAGUCAAAAAAGCGGAAGCGCGCGAAUGAUUAGUUUAUUAAUUUUAAGGCGAAUUCAUUAUUAUUUAAACACGGAGCAUAUUUUUAUUCAGUUUGAUGUUUUCAGAUAACGUGGAGAUCUUCAACAGAUCACUGGAACUGUCCAUAGUCCCUGGCUGCUUCAAAUGCUCCACCAUCAUCCCUGGCCCAAAGAAACCCAAGAUAACAGGACAUAAUGACUGCAGACCCUUGCUGGAUCCACUGCUCUUCUCCCUCUACACUAGGGAUGCACUAUAAAUCACAUGUGAUUUUCAUGCACAUCUCGUCAGUAAAGCCGGUGUUGUUGAUUAGUAGUAAAUCUCCAUCAUGUGCUUUCAGAUGGAGCAGCAUUUACUACACAGAGCCGUAGUUCACUGACAAGCUAUACAAUAUCACAUUCAUAAUCGCAGACAAUUUGUCUGAACAUCAACAGAACCGGCUCUACUGAUGAGAUGCGCAUAACAAUCACAUGCGAGUUAUCGUGCUGCCCUACUCUACACCAAUGACUGCACCUCUACAGACCUGAGGUCUUCGGACUGUCGAGAGGAUUACUGGUGCUUCCCUACCCACCUUUCAAGAACGAUCUUCAACAGAUCACUGGAACUGUCCAUAGUCCCUGGCUGCUUCAAAUGCUCCACCAUCAUCCCUGGCCCAAAGAAACCCAAGAUAACAGGACAUAAUGACUGCAGACCCUUGCUGGAUCCACUGCUCUUCUCCCUCUACACUAGGGAUGCACUAUAAAUCACAUGUGAUUUUCAUGCACAUCUCGUCAGUAAAGCCGGUGUUGUUGAUUAGUAGUAAAUCUCCAUCAUGUGCUUUCAGAUGGAGCAGCAUUUACUACACAGAGCCGUAGUUCACUGACAAGCUAUACAAUAUCACAUUCAUAAUCGCAGACAAUUUGUCUGAACAUCAACAGAACCGGCUCUACUGAUGAGAUGCGCAUAACAAUCACAUGCGAGUUAUCGUGCUGCCCUACUCUACACCAAUGACUGCACCUCUACAGACCUGAGGUCUUCGGACUGUCGAGAGGAUUACUGGUGCUUCCCUACCCACCUUUCAAGAACGAUCUUCAACAGAUCACUGGAACUGUCCAUAGUCCCUGGCUGCUUCAAAUGCUCCACCAUCAUCCCUGGCCCAAAGAAACCCAAGAUAACAGGACAUAAUGACUGCAGACCCUUGCUGGAUCCACUGCUCUUCUCCCUCUACACUAGGGAUGCACUAUAAAUCACAUGUGAUUUUCAUGCACAUCUCGUCAGUAAAGCCGGUGUUGUUGAUUAGUAGUAAAUCUCCAUCAUGUGCUUUCAGAUGGAGCAGCAUUUACUACACAGAGCCGUAGUUCACUGACAAGCUAUACAAUAUCACAUUCAUAAUCGCAGACAAUUUGUCUGAACAUCAACAGAACCGGCUCUACUGAUGAGAUGCGCAUAACAAUCACAUGCGAGUUAUCGUGCUGCCCUACUCUACACCAAUGACUGCACCUCUACAGACCUGAGGUCUUCGGACUGUCGAGAGGAUUACUGGUGCUUCCCUACCCACCUUUCAAGAACGGUACACAUCCAGAGUGAGGAAAAGUGCUUAGGAAAUCACUCUGGAUCCUUUUUGAACUUUUGAC